rnacentral:rRNA from 1 species
UACGGAGGGGGCUAGCGUUGUUCGGAAUUACUGGGCGUAAAGCGUGCGUAGACGGUUAUGUAAGUCGGGUGUGAAAGCCCCGGGCUCAACCUGGGAAUGGCAUUUGGGACUGCAAGGCUCGAGUGCGGCAGAGGAGACUGGAAUUCCUGGUGUAGCAGUGAAAUGCGUAGAUAUCAGGAGGAACACCGAUGGCGAAGGCAGGUCUCUGGGCUGACACUGACGCUCAUGCACGAAAGCGUGGGGAGCAAACAGG